rnacentral:rRNA from 1 species
UGGGGAAUAUUGGACAAUGGGCGAAAGCCUGAUCCAGCCAUGCCGCGUGUGUGAAGAAGGUCUUCGGAUUGUAAAGCACUUUAAGUUGGGAGGAAGGGCAUUAACCUAAUACGUUAGUGUUUUGACGUUACCGACAGAAUAAGCACCGGCUAACUCUGUGCCAGCAGCCGCGGUAAUACAGAGGGUGCAAGCGUUAAUCGGAAUUACUGGGCGUAAAGCGCGCGUAGGUGGUUUGUUAAGUUGGAUGUGAAAGCCCCGGGCUCAACCUGGGAACUGCAUCCAAAACUGGCAAGCUAGAGUACGGUAGAGGGUGGUGGAAUUUCCUGUGUAGCGGUGAAAUGCGUAGAUAUAGGAAGGAACACCAGUGGCGAAGGCGACCACCUGGACUGAUACUGACACUGAGAUGCGAAAGCGUGGGGAGCAAACA